AAACUAAGCAUAUCAAUAAGCGGAGGAAAAGAAACCAACAGGGAUUGCCCUAGUAACGGCGAGUGAAGCGGCAACAGCUCAAAUUUGAAAUCUGGCGCAAGCCCGAAUUGUAAUUUGCAGAGGAUGCUUCUAGGCAGCGGCCGGUCUAAGUUCCUUGGAACAGGACGUCAUAGAGGGUGAGAAUCCCGUAUGUGACCGGUUGGCACCUUCCACGUAGCUCCUUCGACGAGUCGAGUUGUUUGGGAAUGCAGCUCUAAAUGGGAGGUAAAUUUCUUCUAAAGCUAAAUACCGGCCAGAGACCGAUAGCGCACAAGUAGAGUGAUCGAAAGAUGAAAAGCACUUUGGAAAGAGAGUUAAAAAGCACGUGAAAUUGUUGAAAGGGAAGCGCUUGCGACCAGACUUGUCGGCGGUGUUCCGCCGGUCUUCUGACCGGUCUACUCGCCGUCGGCAGGCCAGCAUCAUCUGGAGCCGCCGGAUAAAGGCGGAGGGAAUGUAGCUCCCCUCGGGGAGUGUUAUAGCCUUCCGUACAAUACGGCGCGCUCCGGGUGAGGUCCGCGUCUCGGCAAGGAUGCUGGCGUAAUGGUCGUAAGCGGCCCGUCUUGAAACACGGACCAAGGAGUCGAUUAUCUAUGCGAGUGUUCGGGCAUCAAACCCCUACGCGUAAUGAAAGUGAACGGAGGUGAGAACUACGGUGCAUCAUCGACCGAUCCGGAUGUCUUCGGAUGGAUUUGAGUAAGAGCAUAGCUAAUCGGACCCGAAAGAUGGUGAACUAUGCCUGAAUAGGGUGAAGCCAGAGGAAACUCUGGUGGAGGCUCGCAGCGGUUCUGACGUGCAAAUCGAUCGUCAAAUUUGGGUAUAGGGGCGAAAGACUAAUCGAACCAUCUAGUAGCUGGUUCCUGCCGAA
rnacentral:rRNA from 1 species